rnacentral:rRNA from 1 species
UUGUCUUUUAAAUGAAGACCCGUAUGAAUGGCACAACGAGGGCUUAACUGUCUCCUUUUUCCAGUCAAUGAAAUUGAUCUUCCCGUGCAGAAGCGGGAAUUCCUACAUAAGACGAGAAGACCCUAUGGAGCUUUAGACACCAGAAUAGACUAUGUUAAGCGCCCCCAAUAAAAUGAGCAAAACCAAUUAAUCCCUAUUCUAAUGUCUUUGGUUGGGGCGACCGCGGGGAAAUAAAAAACCCCCAUGUGGACCGGGAACACCUCAUUCCUACAACCCAGAGUUACAACUCAAAGUAACAGAACUUCUGACCAGCUGAUCCGGCAUUAGCCGAUCGACGGACCGAGUUACCCUAGGGAUAACAGCGCAAUCCUCUUUUAGAGCCCAUAUCGACAAGAGGGUUUACGACCUCGAUGUUGGAUCAGGACAUCCUAAU